GACGAACGCUGGCGGCGUGCUUAACACAUGCAAGUCGAACGAAGUGGCGAACGGGUGAGUAAUAUGUGGGUAACCUGCCCUCCUCUUUGGGAUAAGCCUUGGCAACGGGGUCUAAUACCGAAUCAUGGGGGUUGUGCUCGCGGCCUAUCAGUUUGUUGGUGGGGUGAUGGCCUACUAAGGCGGUGACGGGUAGCCGGCCUGAGAGGAUGACCUGCCACAGUAGGACUGGGCUACGUCCCAGACUCCUACGGGAGGCAGCACUGGGGGAUAUUGCACAGUGGGCGAAAGCUUGAUGCAGCUACGACGCGUGGGGUUUGAAGGCUUUCGGAUUGUAAUCCUCUUUCGCUAUCGAACGCGUAGGUGGAGAAGGAGCGCCGACUAAAUACGUGCCAGCAGCCGCGGUAAUAC
rnacentral:rRNA from 1 species